CUCGGAGCAAAAAGCAGAGCAGAAUCUAAUAGGCUGCUUGCAUACCUGUCACUGGAUUCGAUGAAAUCCUGUUGUUUAUUAUGCACAUGUCACAUACCUCAAAAAUCAAGUUCUUGGGAGAGGGAAUUUAAUUGGCCUAACUUGUAUCACCCGCCCUUGGGCUGGUCCCACCAAUUUGCAUGUAAUUGGGUACAGAAUUAAGGUAGUCCCCAAAGAAAAAAAUGGUGCUAUUAACAAAUAGAGAAGUAUAUGCUGGGUAGGCAAUAUCAACAGAUUUCGUCUAUGUUAACUUUGAGUUGGUUUGCUACUAGACUGUAGCCUUGUUUUGAUAUCAAUUUUUUUUUUCUCGAAGAAUUUUACUCUUUCAACACCAAGGAAACUCAAGACAAUAGAAAACUACUGGACAAUAGCACCAAGUAAUGUAUUUGCGUGUGAAGACUCACUAAUUUAUGCAAUUAGACCUCAAUCUAUGCAGUAUCUUCCUGAAGAUUAUUAAAAAAUCAAAUGUAUUUUAAAGAAGUUUGCCUUUUAUUUAAAUAAAUACUGUCUAAACU
rnacentral:sRNA from 1 species